CACAUGCUGUUUAUCCAUCUGUCUAUCUAAAUAUUGCAUUGUGUGAAAUCAAUGCAAAUGUGCACCAUUUUCAACACAAUCAGAAAGGUAGCUCUAGAUACAUCUGCAACCAUCUCCUCUAUAUCCCUGUGGAUAUUAUAAAUGCUAUGAAGAAUGCAAACAAACUGAAUUGGAGCUACACUGGAUGCAAAUCUCCAGGAGUAUUAUGGCCAUCGUCACCCACAGCCUCUGGGCUGGGUGGGUCUGGAGGGGAAGGAAACAGGAAGGAGGGCAGACAGAGCUUGAAAACAAAAUUGUAGGCCCUGUUCCACUGGAACUGCUGGACCCCCCGUCGCACGGCACCGAUUGCACAAGUCGAUUCUUGGCAUUGCAGAUACACAAAUGAAAGGAGUCAGUGCAAGGGGAACUUAGGGCAAGAAUGUCGACCGUUAUUGGAAAUCCUCCAGAACAAAAGCCAGAAACCAUACUGUGCAACAGGAACUGUCAAAAUCUGCACCAAUCAGUUACAGCAUGUUAAAGAAAGACAAUGCGUAGUGCCGGCCCUCGCGUGUGGAGGUGGACCUUGAAGAAUGGAUGCAAGAAAACUUAAUGAAAAUAAGUGGAACAGCUGCAAGGUACCAGGCAGAUGUGCUUCACCAUGCAUCUCCAUCUGGAACCUCACCCUGGAAAUGAAAAUCAUUGCAAUAUUAUGAGUCAAUAUGGGAAAGCACAUUGUGAAUUACAUUGACAGAAAAAAAAAUAAACAUUAUUAUUCAAACAUUUGUGAGUACAUUGAUGUGUUUGCAUAAACCAUCCAUUGCAUUCUUAAUAUGCUGUAGGCUUGAUUCUCAAACUCCUACUGUAAAAUCUGUUACUAACUGACAUACUAUGAUACAAAUGUUCCAGAUUUCAUUCACAGGCAAUUCUCAAACUUACAUAUGUAUGGUCUCUAUGUUUGUAUUGAGUCCAGUGUAGUCAUAUGCAAAUUACUGUAUACAGACAUAUAAAGGUUUCUAAUAAUCUUUAUGUAUACUAAAUUGCUGAGUUUAUUUCUAUAUUAUCAGUAAAUGCAACAGUCAACUUAUUGAAACUUAAUUAAACAUCUGUUUUAAGCAAGGGUGACAAUAACAUGUGGCUUUGUGAUGCUCAGACUAAAGGCUGUAUAAACUGUUAAUAAAUUCCUGAUAAGUAAAAGGAAUACUUCACGUGUAUACAAUUAUAAACUAUUUUAACCAUUACUUAUCCACAAGCCUGCCUUCUCCCAGCUUUCAUAUGGCUGGUCUUGCCCUAAGAUCUGUACUGGCAAGUGCAAGGUUGGAACCUCAUUCUCCAACUUUGCAUUGGUUUGCCUUUUCCUGUCGAUUGACACAACGCUUCAGUAUGUUGAUGUCUGUGUGUAUGCCAGUGACACUGGCAUGCUGUUUUUUAAACACUGAAGUGAUGCCCAUUCUAUCAAGCUUGCCAAAGAUGUAUGGAUGUUUUCAUAUUCUGGAAAAUUGUCAAGUCUUAUUUAGUUAAAUGUAACUUACAUCUUGACGUCAUCAAUAAAAAUAAAAAAGGUAUACUUGUACGUUAAGAUUUAAUUUUGUCCUAUAUAAACCAUAGAAGGCAUUUUGUGUCAAUAGUCCACUUCUCUUCUUCCACUUCUACUGCUAUUGGAAACUCACAGGGUUCUAUUUUAGGCACACUGCUGCUUCAUGUAUACCUGCUGUGCUUGGGAAACAGAUUUAUCAUAUGGUAUUAUGUGAAAUGAGUUUCCAAUUUACUGAAUGAUAUUAGAAUGUAUAUGUAAAUUAAUGGUAAUGGUUUAGGCUGGUUGUUUUAUGCUGUUUGUUUACUCCAGUGGUGUUGGGUGCUGUGUUAUCAAAAUGUGUUUACUCUAAUACCCCGAAUAAUCCACAUUCUUGAAACGUGCACCUUUUCUGUGGGAUGAGAAUAAAACUAGUAACAAUAAAUAAGGUUACCUAAGAUCCAAGUUAUGUGUUACAUUAGCUGUUCGAUUUUCCUUUCACAAAAAAUGGUGAAUAGAUAAUAAAUGGCAGACGUCAGAGUAGUUCUGCAGACUGCAUAGACACAAAUUGUUGGUCCAGCAAAAAGUGUAGACUGUAUACCAAGGGUGGCAACUCCAUUCUAGGUUUAAUAGGUGUAAUUAAGUGAUUUUGCUUUAGGAGCUGGUCAGGGGUUUAAUGGGUUCAAUUAUGGACAUGGUCAGAAGAAAGACCUGGGAUGGAAGUACAGAGGCUGCCUUCCCCUGAUUUCUACUGUUUGGAACUUGUAUUUAUUUAGUAAAUGAAUGUAUUUUCAUUAAAGAGUAAGUAACUUAAAAUGUCAUCAUUGAUUUUUUAUACGUUUCACUUCCUACUUUAUGGUGUUUGCUAUCAUUCUGAGUGCUUCUGUGUUCUAUUACUGAGUUACUCUGUAUCUAUACCAAUGUAGAGUAGGUGGGAUGGACUGAGUUACUCUGUGUCUAUACCAAUGUAGAGUAGGUGGGAUGGACUGAAUUACUCUGUGUCUAUACCAAUGUAGAGUAGGUGGGAUGGACUGAAUUACUCUGUGUCUAUACCAAUGUAGAGUAGGUGGGAUGGACUGAGUUACUCUGUGUCUAUACCAAUGUAGAGUAGGUAGGAUGGACUGAGUUACUCUGUGUCUAUACCAAUGUAGAGUAGGUGGGAUGCUCAGCCAGUA